UUUAAUAAAUAGAUCUCUAUUUAAACGUGCGCUCGCGUGAGGGGCAUUAACGUAGUGACGUAAACGUGAUGGCGCAAGCAGCCGCGAAGACGGAAGAUAUUGAUAUUGUGUAUUACCAAAGACUGAAGAUAUAACCACCACGAUAGAUCCGUCGUGUAAUUUAUUUAACUUUACGUUAAGGACACUUUAUAAAACCUACAGAGGAUGGGACCCAACCUGACCAACAGCCUUCACAACGCAACGCAGCAAUUUGGAAAUUUAAACAGUAACGGUCUCUAACGGUCAUCUGAGAGACGGACGGGUGCUAAGCCGAAGUGGUCAGUGAAGUUACAGUCUGAGGGCAGUUCAUGAAGACGAGAUGUUUUGUCAACCUGGACAGAAGUUCCACCUGCCACACCAGACUCUCUGCUGUACACGGAGGCCUGUACACUAGCACAUGGGUUUUUGGAGCCAGGGACCUCUUGCAGGGAAGAAGAUUUUCCAAGGACCCCCUCAUAAAUAUAACAGUGUUUAAGGCUAAAGUUAAUGUGGAUAGGAGUAUAAUGAACAUAAUAUGAUUGUUUUAUUGGUGCAAAUGGUCCCUAUUUUGUAUGAACUGUUUAAUAAUACAGCACAAUAUAGGCCUAAUUUACCAUAUUUUCCAGACUUUACACCAGGUCAGGAAAAAAAAAACAUGCAUAAGUUGCAUUGGUGUAUAAGGCACAUUUUACUGUUACUUUCAGAAAUAAUGUAAAUACUGAUAAAUAAAACAAAUGUUAAUAAACUUAACAAACAUUAUAAAAAAUGUAAACAUGUAAUUUACUUUUCCUCAUUCCAAAUCAUUUAAAUUAAUUGGCAUUCAGAACAUAUAUAUAUAUAUAUAUAUAUAUUAGGGGUGUGAUGAGACAACACGAGACGACACAACACUAGGUUCACAAGAACGAGACGAGACGAGAAUUUUAAACUUUUCUUAAGAAAUCCUCAAUGAUUAAAUAUAUAGGGAAAAUAGUAUUUUAUUCAACUGAAAAAGACAAAAUGCAAAAACAUUUAGGUGCAUUUUAAACUUUAUGAAAUUAAACUUCCAUUUUAAUGGAAUUAUAUGCAGUAAUGCAUAAAUUGGAUAAAUUGCGAAUCCCAGUUUUUAAUAAAUUGGAGAUCACGAUUCUGGAGAAAAAAGAUUAGAAAACUAAACAAAAUAACAUAAUUUACUAGUGGUUUUGAUAAACUGUUCAUUGCUUAAGUCUUUUAAAAACAUAUUCAUUUAAACAAAAUAAUAAUAAUACUAAAAAAAAAAAAAACAUUCAAUGAAGGGAGUCAGUGUCUCACUUCAUUAAGACUUGUUUGACUAUUGAAAUCUCCUGAAUGAAUGAUUCAAUUACAUACUUUUUUUCAAACGGGCAGUUGUCGCCACCUCCUGGCGGAAGAGGUUAAGCGUUACUAUACAUACAAGAUACUUUUGUUUUGAUCGCUACUGUAGAAAAUAAGUGUUUAUACCCUAACUAUAAACUUUAAUCCCAGUACUUCUGUUACUUAAAUGUCUGUUACACAGAAAUAAUUAUUAUAAUGUGGUUGAAAAGACUGUUUGUGUUGCUCUUUCUGCAUUCACAUUUACCCUCUAAUUCAUUAACAUGGGCAUCGACAAAACGAGCCAUUCAUUACAAGCAAUAUUUAUUUAAAAUUAAGCC